ACGUAGGGGGCAAGCGUUGUCCGGAAUAAUUGGGCGUAAAGGGCGCGUAGGCGGCUCGGUAAGUCUGGAGUGAAAGUCCUGCUUUUAAGGUGGGAAUUGCUUUGGAUACUGUCGGGCUUGAGUGCAGGAGAGGUUAGUGGAAUUCCCAGUGUAGCGGUGAAAUGCGUAGAGAUUGGGAGGAACACCAGUGGCGAAGGCGACUAACUGGACUGUAACUGACGCUGAGGCGCGAAAGUGUGGGGAGCAAACAG
rnacentral:rRNA from 1 species